rnacentral:tRNA from 1 species
GGGCCCGUAGCUCAGCCAGGUAGAGCGCCGGGCUCAUAACCCGGUGGUCGGGGGUUCAAAUCCCCCCGGGCCCA